rnacentral:rRNA from 1 species
UGGGGAAUUUUGGACAAUGGGCGAAAGCCUGAUCCAGCAAUGCCGCGUGUGUGAAGAAGGCCUUCGGGUUGUAAAGCACUUUUGUCCGGAAAGAAAUCCUUGGCUCUAAUACAGUCGGGGGAUGACGGUACCGGAAGAAUAAGCACCGGCUAACUACGUGCCAGCAGCCGCGGUAAUACGUAGGGUGCAAGCGUUAAUCGGAAUUACUGGGCGUAAAGCGUGCGCAGGCGGUUUGCUAAGACCGAUGUGAAAUCCCCGGGCUCAACCUGGGAACUGCAUUGGUGACUGGCAGGCUAGAGUAUGGCAGAGGGGGGUAGAAUUCCACGUGUAGCAGUGAAAUGCGUAGAGAUGUGGAGGAAUACCGAUGGCGAAGGCAGCCCCCUGGGCCAAUACUGACGCUCAUGCACGAAAGCGUGGGGAGCAAACAGGAUUAGAUACCCUGGUAGUCCACGCCCUAAACGAUGUCAACUAGUUGUUGGGGAUUCAUUUCCUUAGUAACGUAGCUAACGCGUGAAGUUGACCGCCUGGGGAGUACGGUCGCAAGAUUAAAACUCAAAGGAAUUGACGGGGUCAUAGCUGUUUCU